CAAAGAUAUUUUGCUGGAGAUCCCUGUCUACUUGAGGUCUUCUAAAGGAAAGAAGUUAAAAUUUUGAAAUACUUCAGUGAUGUGAUCAGCAGACAGUAGUGGGAAAGUAUUUCUCCUAAACUUGACUGGUGAUCAAAAUAAGGAAGGAAGAUCUGAAAGAGCAGAAAAUAUUUUUGUUAAUCAGGAUAUGGCACUUUCCAACAUCUGGAUAUCAAAACACUUGCUUUGAAUUCAAUACUAUUAACAUGUGUCAUUUAAAUGAAUUUUUUUCUCCAGAGCCAAUUGGGUGGCUACGAUUCUUGGCAAGGUUUUUGCAGUUUGUUGCUUACAUUACCUGACCCGUGGUCUGUUUGUCUUACGAUCUCUGUGGGAAAAAACAGCAAGAGACAUCAACCCCCACCCUGCCUACCCGAAAAAAAGCAAUGCCACAAAGCUCUGAAAAUAGAUCAGAACCCAGAAACAAAGUUCUAGGAUGAAGUCUCAUCCUUCCACUGAACCAUUUUGACCAGAAGGUAACCUCAUGGGAUUUCUGCUGUUUUUGCCUGUGACAUCAUGUAACAUCAAAUGAGAAAGCAUCUGAUUCUUCUGAAUAUCAACGAGACAUGAUUAAACUGAAUACAACAGCUUGGGAAUCCAGGAAAAAAAAGUUUGAAUAAAAGGUCAGAGAAAGAUCAGGCAUCAGCUCUGGCUCUUCGCAAAAUGAUAAAACUAACAGGGAAUGACUCAGCUAGCCCUGAUGAAAAAGCUCCUUUCUUUGCAGUGUAAACAACACAGUCUGUGUUCUUGAAAUCCCAGACUGAAACAUCAACCAGCACUGGAAAAUACGAUACCCCAGAAUGCCUUCCCUGUCCUGGGCAUAGCCUGUCACCAGUAUUUCAGGGGAUCUUAUUCACUGCGACUGGGACUAACUACUCAGAAGAGACUUCUGCAUGAGUAAAAGGGAAAAAAGCUUGUGUGUGGACUGACCUCAAGAGUGUGAAGCAAAUAUUUUGUUUCAAAUCAACUUUUGACCCAUUUCUGAAGUAAAUUGAGUGACCAGUAAUUGAAACCAGCAAAAAAAAAAAAAAGAGAAAAAGAAAAAGGAGAUGUUGAAAACCAUUUGAAUAAGUACUGCACUAAUGGACCAAUGGUAUUUUCCAUUCAACAAGUAGCAGAGCUGCAAGAGGAGAAGGAAUACGAAGUGCUGGGGCAAAGGAAGUACAGCCAUCUCCUCCCUGCUGCAUUGGAUGUGGAGCAAAGAAGCCACCUCGUACUGAAUGACCGUGCAAGGCCGUGCCUUACAGACAAGAUGGCACCAACUAAACCUAAAAAAAUGACUAACUGCCAAGAUAAUUCAAAGAAUAAUGAAGUUACAACAGCAGCAAAGAUGCAAAGAAAACUGAUGUGUUAUCUCUUCCUGGAGCUCACCACAAAAGAAUAAAAUGCUUCAUCUUUAAAAUGAAUGGGUCUAAAAUUUGUGAUCGCAGCUCUGCUUAUCAGGACGUGCUGAUGGAUUGGAUUAUGUGGCAGUCACAUGGAGGAGCCUUUGCUCAUGUUUGAUUUUAUAAAAUUCGUUCUUUUCUGUGACACUUUCAUACUUUGGGGAAACUUGUUUGUUGAUAAGUACUUGAAUUAACCUUUUAAAUAGAAGGAAUGUCUGCAAUAAGUUCAACUUUCUAUUAAGACAAAUCCUGGGACUCGCUUGUGACUCGGACUGCAGGAGGAGAAAAGUCAGAAAAUUUUCUUGUAGUGCUGCACAUGUUAAGCAGGCCUUGGACCUGGG
ensembl:lncRNA